GUGGUCAGUGAUGAUGCCUUACCACCUUUAAUUCGAGUGUCAUGCCCAUGAGAUAACUCUACAUGCACUACCAUCUGAGACCAC
ensembl:snoRNA SNORD33 Small nucleolar RNA Z195/SNORD33/SNORD32 family